UUAAGUGACUAAGCGUACACGGUGGAUGCCUUGGCAGUUGGAGGCGAUGAAGGACGUACUAACUUGCGAUAAGCCUAGUCAAGCCAGUAAGAGGCGCUUGAGACUAGGAUUUCCGAAUGGGGAAACCCACCUGCUUGCAGGUAUCGUUAACUGAAUACAUAGGUUAACGAGGCGAACGCGGAGAACUGAAACAUCUAAGUACCCGUAGGAAAAGAAAUCAACCGAGAUUCCGAAAGUAGCGGCGAGCGAAAUCGGACCAGCCCUUAAGCUUUAGUGUAGUUAGUGGAACAUGCUGGAAAGCAUGACGAAACAGGGUGAUAGUCCCGUACACAAAAACUUAUCUAAAGUGAAAUCGAGUAGGUCGGAGCACGUGAAACUUUGACUGAAUAUGGGGGGACCAUCCUCCAAGGCUAAAUACUCCCAACUGACCGAUAGUGAACCAGUACCGUGAGGGAAAGGCGAAAAGAACCCCUGUGAGGGGAGUGAAAUAGAACCUGAAACCGUGUACGUACAAGCAGUAGGAGCCUACUUGUUGGGUGACUGCGUACCUUUUGUAUAAUGGGUCAGCGACUUAUAUUCUGUAGCGAGGUUAACCAUUUAGGGGAGCCGUAGCGAAAGCGAGUCUUAACUGGGCGCUUAAGUUGCAGGGUAUAGACCCGAAACCCGGUGAUCUAGCCAUGGGCAGGUUGAAGGUUGAGUAACAUCAACUGGAGGACCGAACCCACUAACGUUGAAAAGUUAGGGGAUGACCUGUGGCUAGGAGUGAAAGGCUAAUCAAACCGGGAGAUAGCUGGUUCUCCCCGAAAUCUAUUUAGGUAGAGCCUCGGACGAAUACUUACGGGGGUAGAGCACUGUUAAGGCUAGGGGGUCAUCCCGACUUACCAACCCUUUGCAAACUCCGAAUACCGUAAAGUAAUAUCCGGGAGACACACGGCGGGUGCUAACGUCCGUCGUGGAGAGGGAAACAACCCAGACCGUCAGCUAAGGUCCCAAAGUGUAUGUUAAGUGGGAAACGAUGUGGGAAGGCUAAAACAGCUAGGAGGUUGGCUUAGAAGCAGCCACCCUUUAAAGAAAGCGUAAUAGCUCACUAGUCGAGUCGGCCUGCGCGGAAGAUGUAACGGGGCUAAACAUACCACCGAAGCUACGGCUGCGUACGUAAGUAUGCGGGGUAGGGGAGCGUUCUGUAAGUGGCUGAAGGUGUGCCGGGAGGCAUGCUGGACAUAUCAGAAGUGCGAAUGCUGACAUGAGUAACGACAAGAGGAGUGAAAAACUCCUCCGCCGGAAGACCAAGGGUUCCUAUCCCAUGUUAAUCAGGGUAGGGUGAGUCGACCCCUAAGGCGAGGCUGAAGAGCGUAGUCGAUGGGAAACGGGUUAAUAUUCCCGUACUCGGUAUGAAUGCGAUGGGGGGACGGAGCAGGCUAGGCAAGCAUGGCGUUGGUUGUCCAUGUGAAAGGCUGUAGGCUGGUGACUUAGGAAAAUCCGGGUUGCUAAGGUUGAGAGUCGAGACGAGCCACUAAGGUGGUGAAGUUGUUGAUGCCCUACUUCCAGGAAAAGCCUCUAAGCUUCAGUUCAUACUGAAUCGUACCCUAAACCGACACAGGUGGUCAGGUAGAGAAUACUAAGGCGCUUGAGAGAACUCGGGUGAAGGAACUAGGCAAAAUUGUACCGUAACUUCGGGAGAAGGUACGCUCUUGUUUGUGAAGGACUUGCUCUGUAAGCAAACGAGAGCCGCAGUGACCAGGUGGCUGGGACUGUUUAUUAAAAACACAGCACUGUGCAAAAUCGUAAGAUGACGUAUACGGUGUGACACCUGCCCGGUGCCGGAAGGUUAAUUGAUGGGGUUAGCUUAGGCGAAGCUCUUGAUCGAAGCCCCGGUAAACGGCGGCCGUAACUAUAACGGUCCUAAGGUAGCGAAAUUCCUUGUCGGGUAAGUUCCGACCUGCACGAAUGGUGUAACCAUGGCCACGCUGUCUCCACCCGAGACUCAGUGAAAUUGAAAUCGCAGUGAAGAUGCUGUGUACCCGCGGCUAGACGGAAAGACCCCGUGAACCUUUACUACAGCUUGGCACUGAACAUUGACCCUACAUGUGUAGGAUAGGUGGGAGGCUUUGAAGCAGAGACGCUAGUUUCUGUGGAGCCGACCUUGAAAUACCACCCUUGUAGUGUUGAUGUUCUAACUUAGGCCCCUGAAUCGGGGUUGAGGACAGUGCCUGGUGGGUAGUUUGACUGGGGCGGUCUCCUCCCAAAGAGUAACGGAGGAGCACGAAGGUUUGCUAAGUACGGUCGGACAUCGUACGGUUAGUGUAAUGGUAGAAGCAAGCUUAACUGCGAGACAGACACGUCGAGCAGGUACGAAAGUAGGUCAUAGUGAUCCGGUGGUUCUGAAUGGAAGGGCCAUCGCUCAACGGAUAAAAGGUACUCCGGGGAUAACAGGCUGAUACCGCCCAAGAGUUCAUAUCGACGGCGGUGUUUGGCACCUCGAUGUCGGCUCAUCACAUCCUGGGGCUGAAGUCGGUCCCAAGGGUAUGGCUGUUCGCCAUUUAAAGUGGUACGCGAGCUGGGUUUAGAACGUCGUGAGACAGUUCGGUCCCUAUCUGCCGUGGGCGUUUGAGAAUUGAGAGGGGCUGCUCCUAGUACGAGAGGACCGGAGUGGACGAACCGCUGGUGUUCGGGUUGUGAUGCCAAUUGCAUUGCCCGGUAGCUACGUUCGGAACUGAUAACCGCUGAAAGCAUCUAAGCGGGAAGCAGGCAUCGAGAUGAGUUCUCACUUUGACUUAGAGUCAACUGAAGGGCCGUUGAAGACUACAACGUUGAUAGGCGAGAUGUGGAAGUGCUGUGAGGCAUUAAGCUAACUCGUACUAAUUACCCGUGAGGCUUAACCAU
rnacentral:rRNA from 1 species